rnacentral:rRNA from 1 species
GACAGAGGUCCCGAGCGUUAGGCGGAAUCACUGGGCUUAAAGCGUGUGUAGGCGGAUGCCUAAGUACCUUGUGAAAUCCCACGGCUCAACCGUGGGACUGCUCGGUAUACUGCUUAUCUUGAGCCACUUAGGGGCUACCGGAACAAAUGGUGGAGCGGUGAAAUGCGUAGAUAUCAUUUGGAACGCCAAUGGUGAAAACAGGUAGCUGGGAGUGUGCUGACGCUGAGACACGAAAGCCAGGGGAGCGAACGGG